rnacentral:misc_RNA from 1 species
GAUGAAGAACGCAGCGAAGUGCGAUAAGUAAUGUGAAUUGCAGAAUUCCGUGAAUCAUCGAAUCUUUGAACGCAAAUUGCACUCUCUGGUAUCCCGGGGAGUAUGCCUGUUUGAGGGUCAGUGUUAAUAAAAAUCGGUGCGUUGCACUUUAUUGUGACGUUCUGGAGUUUGAGUUAUCUUAACUUUUAGGUUAAGAGGCUUAAAAUUGACCUUUUUUUUGUGCAUUUUAGACGUACAUAAAUUUUCUUUUAUUUGUCUUUUAAUGCCAAAAUUAUAUUAGAUGCGACCAUAUCGUGUGGUUUCGUGUCUAUAAAUUUUUCAUGAUUUGACCUCAAAUCAGGUAGGAGUAACCGCUGAACUUAAGCAUAUCAAUAAGCGGAGGA